rnacentral:rRNA from 1 species
UACGGAGGAUGCGAGCGUUAUCCGGAUUUAUUGGGUUUAAAGGGUGCGUAGGCGGAUCGUUAAGUCAGUGGUCAAAUUGAGGGGCUCAACCCCUUCCCGCCAUUGAAACUGGCGUUCUUGAGUGGAAGAGAAGUAUGCGGAAUGCGUGGUGUAGCGGUGAAAUGCGUAGAUAUUAGGAGGAACACCAGUGGCGAAGGCGGCUUACUGGACUGUAACUGACGUUGAGGCUCGAAAGCGUGGGGAGCAAACAGG